GACGAACGCUGGCGGCGUGCUUAACACAUGCAAGUCGAACGGAAAGGCCCUGCUUUUGUGGGGUGCUCGAGUGGCGAACGGGUGAGUAACACGUGAGUAACCUGCCCUUGACUGUGUGAUAACUUCAGGAAACUGGGGCUAAUACCGGAUAGGAGCUCCUGCUGCAUGGGGGGGGUUGGAAAGUUUCGGCGGUUGGGGCUGGACUCGCGGCUUAUCAGCUGGUUGGUGGGGUAGUGGCUUACCAAGGCUUUGACGGGUAGCCGGCCUGAGAGGGUGACCGGCCACCUUGGGACUAAGAUACGGACCAGACUCCUACGGGAGGCAGCAGUGGGGAAUAUUGCACAAUGGGCGGAAGCCUGAUGCAGCAACGCCGCGUGCGGGAUGACGGCCUUCGGGUUGUAAACCGCUUUCGCCUGUGACGAAGCGUGAGUGACGGUAAUGGGUAAAGAAGCACCGGCUAACUACGUG
rnacentral:rRNA from 1 species